rnacentral:rRNA from 1 species
CAGCCGCCGCGGUAAUACGUAGGUGGCAAGCGUUGUCCGGAAUUAUUGGGCGUAAAGGGCUCGCAGGCGGUUUCUUAAGUAUGAUGUGAAAGCCCCCGGCUCAACCGGGGAGGGUCAUUGGAAACUGGGAAACUUGAGUGCAGAAGAGGAGAGUGGAAUUCCACGUGUAGCGGUGAAAUGCGUAGAGAUGUGGAGGAACACCAGUGGCGAAGGCGACUCUCUGGUCUGUAACUGACGCUGAGGCACGAAAGCGUGGGGAGCAAACAGGAUUAGAUACCCGCGUAGUCCCUGUCUCUUAUAC